ACUGUGCAGUAUUCGUCAGUGCCCUCUGAUGGCUGCCCUCCAGUGAAAUGGAAUGACUUAGUUCUCAGAGCUGGUAUGGAAGAGCGCAUCUAAGGAAAUGACCCACAGAAUCUGUAUUGAUUUAAUGCAGCUUAAGAAAAAAAAAAAGAAAGAAAGAAAACCAAAAAAACCCCGCAUGGUUCUGAAGAAAGGAUGGCUAACAAACCCAGAUAGGCCAGAUCUGUUUGGGUAAAUCGGAGGCCUUCUCUGUGUGAACGUGUCGCAUGAAAAACAUAAGGAAGAUUUCCUUCCUGUGAAAACCGGAGUUCAACAGUAGCAGAAACAUUCCUGUUUCCCCCACCUCUGAUACAAAUUUUGGUUAAUGACGGAGAUGAAACCUGCUCUUCAGAAACAUUGACUCGAGCUGCAUACUGCUUGUAGCGCUGACAAAAACAAACCUGUGAUGGACUCGGCAAGGAGCUGUUCUGCUCGUUGG